AAAUUUAUCGCCAAUCACUACCGAACCAACUGAUGAUAGAAAGUUUAAUUUUUUUUGGUCAAGUAGCCUAGUGGCUAGAAAUUCCACCCAUAUAGUGGAUAAAUGGGAUGACUGGGGUUCGAACCCCGGCCCGCUGCAUAUAUAAUGCGAUGUCCAACAAAGUUUAAUUUUAUUACUAAUAAGGAUAUUUAACAAGAAGGAUAAUUUAGAUCAAGAAGGAUAUUUAACAAAGUUUAAUUAAUAAUAAUAAUAAGUAGUGAUAUUAUAAAUAGUUUUACACACACGUCGAAUCGCAUUUCACACACAAGCACAGAUCUAGUAAAACGCAAACACGCAAUUCGCAUUUCACACAACCGUCUGGUAAAACGCAAUUCGCAAUUCGCAAACGCAGAUUCGCAAACUCUUCUCUGCACCGCCGUGCCGCCGCACCGUCUUCUUC
rnacentral:lncRNA from 1 species